rnacentral:rRNA from 1 species
AAUCAACGCUGGCGGCGCGCCUAACACAUGCAAGUCGAACGGGAAAGUGGAGCAAUCCAUGAGUAUAGUGGCGUACGGGUGAGUAACACGUGGGUAAUCUACCUUUUAGUGGGGAAUAACCCUGGGAAACCGGGGCUAAUACCGCAUAAUCCCGAGAGGGGAAAGUCGCAAGACGCUGAAAGAGGAGCCCGCGGCCGAUUAGCUAGUUGGCAGGGUAAAAGCCUACCAAGGCAGAGAUCGGUAGCCGGCCUGAGAGGGCACACGGCCACACUGGCACUGAAACACGGGCCAGACUCCUACGGGAGGCAGCAGUGGGGAAUCUUGCACAAUGGGGGAAACCCUGAUGCAGCGACGCCGCGUGAGCGAUGAAGCCCUUCGGGGCGUAAAGCUCUUUCGGCAGGGAAGAAUUAUGACGGUACCUGCAGAAGCAGCUGCGGCUAACUACGUGCCAGCAGCCGCGGUAAUACGUAGGCAGCAAGCGUUGUUCGGAGUUACUGGGCGUAAAGGGUGUGUAGGCGGUUGUUUAAGUUUGGUGUGAAAUCUCCCGGCUUAACUGGGAGGGUGCGCCGAAUACUGAAUGACUAGAGUGCGGGAGAGGAGAGUGGAAUUCCUGGUGUAGCGGUGAAAUGCGUAGAUAUCAGGAGGAACACCGGCGGUGUAGACGGCUCUCUGGACCGCGACUGACGCUGAGACACGAAAGCGUGGGUAGCAAACAGGAUUAGAUACCCUGGUAGUCCACGCCCUAAACGAUGCAUAUUUGGUGUGGGCAGUUCAUUCUGUCCGUGCCGGAGCUAACGCGUUAAAUAUGCCGCCUGGGGAGUACAGUCGCAAGGCUGAAACUCAAA